rnacentral:lncRNA from 1 species
UUAUUGUUUAUUUCUUGAUCAAAGUCCAAAGGAAAAUGGGUUUCUAUAUGACAUUCUUGUCUGUUGGAUUGCAUCCUAUUGGUCAGAUCUUUCCAACUUUUAACUUUUAAAUUUUUACUUAGGGUAGUCUCUUCAUCUCCUCCCACCUCUUUAAUUUCAAAAUAUCUCCCUCUUUUCAAAAACUUUAUUUGUUUGUGUUUUCUAACUUAGACAUGUUUUAAUGAUUAGAAACUUUGGCCUUAUGCCAAUGAAUUUU